rnacentral:pre_miRNA from 1 species
CAAGUACUCCCUCCGUCCGGAAUUACUUGUCAUCAAAAUGGAUGUGUCUAGAACUAAAAUACAUCUAGAUACAUCCAUUUCAAUGACAAGUAUUUUUGGAUGGAGGGACUACAAG